rnacentral:RNase_P_RNA from 1 species
CUGGAUGCGUGGAAGACCGUUGUCGGCUUCGGUCGGCAGAGGAAAGUCCGAGCACCGCUGGACCAGGGUGGUGGGUAACACCCACCGUCGUGGUUGGCCCGGCAGGGCCGGCUGCGACCGGGACAGUGCCACAGAAACCAGACCGCCUUCGGUAGGAUCGUCCGGCCCGCGCGACCGGGCGAGAGCACCCGUCAGUGUAACCGCCGAAGGUAAGGGUGAAACGGUGCGGUAAGAGCGCACCGCGACGGCGGUGACGUCGUCGGCAUGGUAAACCCCGCCCGGUGCAAGGCCAAGCAGCGACCAGGCCGGUCCAGGCCACGAUGAGUCGCGGGUAGGCCGCUUGCCUUGAGCGAGCACGGCGAGUCGAAAGGCUUGCCUGCCCUGUUCAAGCAGAGCGCGUCGGCAACGGCGCGUCGAGAGAAAUGGUCUUCGCCGCCGCCGUCGUCCGCGGCCCGGACGCCGCGGCGGGACAGAACUCGGCUUAUAGCGCAUCCAGCCGG